UGGGGAGCAGGCUGCGCUCCCCCGGGGUCGGGGCACCCACCAGGGUUCCCGCUCAAGCAUCUAGGGUCAGACUGGGAAGUCCUUGCCCAACCCGUGCAGGGUUCAGAAGGUUGCCUGGGGUGACCAGGUGCCUUGGGCAAAUCACCUGCCACCACUACCCCAACCCUGGCCUUCGCCUGCAUCUGUGAAAGGGGGUUCACAAGCUUCUUCAGCUUUUCCCUUAAGAGUCGG
rnacentral:lncRNA from 1 species